rnacentral:tRNA from 1 species
AAACCAAAGCCGGAUAUUCCUUANAGCA